rnacentral:rRNA from 1 species
CCUCUACUCCUACCGGGAGGCAGCAGUGGGGAAUAUUGCACAAUGGGCGCAAGCCUGAUGCAGCGACGCCGCGUGAGGGAUGACGGCCUUCGGGUUGUAAACCUCUUUCAGUAGGGAAGAAGCGAAAGUGACGGUACCUGCAGAAGAAGCGCCGGCUAACUACGUGCCAGCAGCCGCGGUAAUACGUAGGGCGCAAGCGUUAUCCGGAAUUAUUGGGCGUAAAGAGCUCGUAGGCGGUUUGUCGCGUCUGCCGUGAAAGUCCGGGGCUCAACUCCGGAUCUGCGGUGGGUACGGGCAGACUAGAGUGAUGUAGGGGAGACUGGAAUUCCUGGUGUAGCGGUGAAAUGCGCAGAUAUCAGGAGGAACACCGAUGGCGAAGGCAGGUCUCUGGGCAUUAACUGACGCUGAGGAGCGAAAGCAUGGGGAGCGAACAGGAUUAGAUACCCUGGUAGUCCAUGCCGUAAACGUUGGGCACUAGGUGUGGGGGACAUUCCACGUUUUCCGCGCCGUAGCUAACGCAUUAAGUGCCCCGCCUGGGGAGUACGGCCGCAAGGCUAAAACUCAAAGGAAUUGACGGGGGCCCGCACAAGCGGCGGAGCAUGCGGAUUAAUUCGAUGCAACGCGAAGAACCUUACCAAGGCUUGACAUGGACCGGACCGGGCUGAAACAGUCCCUACCCCUUUG